rnacentral:tRNA from 1 species
UCCUGGUUAGCUUAGGUGGUGUAGCGCUCACUGGAAAUGGAGAGGCCCCUGGUUCAAUACCAGGACCAGGCG